rnacentral:lncRNA from 1 species
GGGCCAACAGGUGGUUGUUCAUACUGAUGUGAAGUACAGGGAUUUAGAUACUGGUGGUCAUUACUAUUUAAAGCAAUGAGCUUGGGUGAGAGCCUGUUGAGAAACAAAAGUUUUCCUUCCCACUAUUCACUCUCCAUUUCCUUUACUAUCCCUUUGGUGCCCUAAAAGUACAGGAACCUUGUAGGGCCAUGUCGUAUGUUGAAGCCUGUGAGGGAUAAACCCUGACCACCAUUUAUUUUCCCUCAGCCAGGUAUACUCUGCGAUAGAACUUCAUUGCUCUUUCCCAGCUCAGUGCUGGGCAAGCUCCUUAGGAAUCUCAAACUACUUGGAGGACUAGCCUUUCUUAUGGUGCUGCAAGGAGAGCAUGGGGCUUCUCAUGCCAGGCCAUGGUCCCAGAGCUUGGGAGAAGCUGACUCUCAGACUGAAUGUCAGAGCUCAGCACCUUAUCAUCAUGCCAAGGACCUGAUGAAGCAGAACAAUUACAACAAAGGUUGAUAGAACCCAGAAAUCAAGAUAAGUGGUCUGCUACACUGGUGUAGGGCAGGUCUCCACUGGUCUCCAUCUGAGCCCUUUCAGCUGGUUUUCACCCCGAUGCCCCAGCAAGGGGACAGUUUGGCUGACCUCGCUUUGCAGCCACCCAGCCAGCCACACAUGGGGAGUGUGGACCUUGCCUGCCCUCCCUGAGUCUCCUGUGAGUGCCUUGCAAUCAGAUACUCCCAUUUGUCUCUGUGAAGGGCCUUGACAUUGCAAGGUCAUAUAAUAAAGGUAUAUGUGGAGAGUUUGUGAGCCCAGCCCUAAAUUGGUUUGGGGGACUUGAAGUUUUUUAGUGAUUCUGUAAUUAUGACCCAGGAAAGUUGAGUCAGGUCUGGUGACUCAAUCUCAUUUCCAAGUCUCCUCUAGGCCGACAACCUUGGGCUGUCCUGCAGACAGCUGGCUGGCACAAGGAUAGCCCCCCCUCCCCCAGGCUCAAUGGGAGGAUGGAGAUGGGGAGGGGAGCAUGUCUCAGCCUGGGUCAGCCCCCAAGAACGCCAGGCUUGGGGUCUAGACAAAUUUAACUUGUCAUUAAGGUUCUGAGUAGGUCUCCAGGGGAGCAUGGGGCUGACCUGGCUCAGGUGUCCC